rnacentral:lncRNA from 1 species
GAUUAAUGACCAUGGAAAUGCCAAAUUACACAACUGAAUUUGUCUCAGUCCAAGGAUUUCCCCAAGAAUAGUUCUAUCAUAUUUCUGAAUCAGCCAUUAGAAGCUGUAGAAUCAUAUCCUGACUUGGAACCCUGUUAGGCACAAACUUGACCAGGAACCCCAAGAACGGAAUUGCCCAUCAACUGUUGGGUAUAUAUGGUAUGAAGCUGUUGGGGUUAAAUGUAGCAUCAUAAGUACUUAAUUUUCUUUAUUUAAAUGGUAAUUAGCAUUAUCCUGCUGAUUAAGGAUGUCUUAAUUCCAUGUAAUCAAACAGGAAAUAAUAUACAUAUAUAUAUUGUAAAGAGAAACUACUGAGAAAGCUGCAAGAAAGAUCCUUACAUUAAUAAGAUGGCUUAAGCAUAAUAAUUAAUAUUACAAACCAUAACAUAAAUUCUAAAAUACUUCAUUAAACUAAUAUUUGCCAAAGGUUCAUGGUUGCCCUAAUGGUGAAACAAAGGAAACCAUCAUGACUUAACCUUGAAGAAGAAUCAAUCCCUCCUCCAUAAUUUCCCCUUCACUAUAUUGUCCCUUGUCACUGCUGCAGCUGCAUGCUUCCACCCUCAUCACCAUUUGCCUCCAUUGGAGAAAGCAGAAGAGGAAGAGGAAGAAGAAGCCAGCAGAAGGCAAAGCCAAAGCUAAGGGGGGGGGGGGGGGGGAAUUGAAAAAUAUGGAAGAGAAGAGUUUCCUCAGAGAGGCCUUUCAUGGGUGAGCAGUUGUUUGCUUUUCAACGGAGUAAAGAUGGGUGGGGAGAGGAUCUUCUCAGCAUAUACUUUAAAGCAUAGAUUUUUUCUCUUUUUCUUUUUUGCCCCCGCCCUCUCUCUCUUUGCUGAUGUUUUCUUUUUCAUUUCACUUUUUUGUUUGUUGGUAGCUGUUGUUGUCGUGGAAUCUGCCUAAGGUUUUUUCCAUGGCUCUAGUGCGUUUCUUCUUCUCUCCAACUUGUCCUUUUCUUGUUUCUCUGAU